AACCAACUAAACAAACAAAAAACAGUGACAACUUCUGCAAAACUACAAAGCUCCCCAAAACCCAUAAAAACAAAUCUAAAAAAUAGUUUCUUUUAACACUUACACUGUGUGUGUGCGCGCGCGCGUGCUCACAAUGUGUGUCACAGUACAUCCAUGGAGAUCAGAGGACAACAUACAGCAGCCAAGUCUCUCUCUCCAGCAUGUCAUUAGCCUUGGGGGCAGGUACCUUUACUGAGCCAUCUCCCCAGCUCACGUGUGGAAUUUUGAUUCCAACUGUGUCUUUCAUCUUCACCUAGGGCUCAGUCUUAGGGAAAUCGGUGUAGUUCAAGCUAACUGGAGGUUAAGCUUGAGUUAAAGAGAGAACAGAGGAGUCAGUUGAGCAGUGGAGCACGUGUCUAGCUUUCAUGAUGUUCUGGGUUCUACUGUGGCAUUGAAAGAAAAAAAAGAGAGAGUUCUCUAGUUUUGGUUCUCAGACUGGAAAGAUUUCUGUGGUAGAAAGUAAAUGGAGCAGCAGAAAGAGAUGUGAGGCCAUAUUGGGGUCACAUCUGACAUUGGCCUGAGCUUGCUGUUCCACAGUGGAGUAUUGGCUCUGGGAACCUGCUUCGUGAGUGCUCAUUUCCACCGUUAGGAAGACACUACAAAGGAAAUUCAUCCUGAAAAACCAUUGCAUUUAUUAUUACCAUUAUUACUAUUACUGCUGUUAUUGUGUGUGUCUGUGUAUGGGGUUGAACAUGUCAUGGCGUGCAUGUGAAGGUCAGAGAAUAAUUUGAGAGAGUCAGUUCAUUUCUUCUACCAUAUGCCUCCCAGGGCUCUAAUUUAGGUUGUCAGGCUUGGUGGCAAGUGGCCAGUGCCUUUACCUACUGAACCAAAUAAUCCAGCUUGCUACAGAGCAUCAGGCACCAAGAACUGACAUCUUCCUGUGCUUUCUUGUCUCCUCCUCUGGGUUUUCUUAAAGGUAAAAGACCAGACUGUGAAAACGUUACUGCGACUAGCAUGGGAGAAGCUGAACCAAGUCUCCUGAUAAAUCCUGAAGACAUUGUCCCCAAAGAACCAGGAAGUCCAGAAGAGACUCUCCGGACAAUCCAGACACCAGGUUCCCACCUACGGUGUUCCAACCAUUCCAUCUGACAUCUCUGCUCCCGGAUUCGUCGAGUCAGUGACGUGAAUAACUACGGUGAUGAAGGCAAUGCUUACUCUCUGCUGCACUCCUCCAUCUUCUCCCAGAGAGACUUCUUCAAGACCAG
rnacentral:lncRNA from 1 species